UGAACACCGACAGAUUAAGUACCGGAACAACGUGAUUGAAUGCGAUCAUGGCAAACUGAAACGGAUAAUCGGCGCCACGCUGGGAUUUAAAUCCAUGAAGACGGCUUACGCCACCAUCAAAGGUAUUGAGGUGAUGCGUGCACUACGCAAAGGCCAGGCCUCAGCAUUUUAUUAUGGUGAUCCCCUGGGCGAAAUGCGCCUGGUAAGCAGAGUUUUUGAAAUGUAAGGCCUUUGAAUAAGACAAAAGGCUGCCUCAUCGCUAACUUUGCAACAGUGCCAAAAUCUGGCCAAUGGUGCUACCGAAUACACCAUCUUUUGGACCAAAAAUAAGUCCUACACCACGGCGCGCGUCUUUCCAGAAUUUUCUAGUCAACAUUUCCUGCGGUUUUCUUAAAACCGGAAUAAACAAGGUAGUCGCAGGGAUUAGACCUAAAAUAGUGAAGAAUGCUAAGAAGAAGCCAGAAGCUCGUAGUGGGUAGCUACCAUUGAGUAAUUGAUAUACAUCAUAGGCAAUAUCUUUAUGCUCGGAUUCUUCAAGCAUAUGCCACAUCCAUAAAGCACGGCUUUUGGCAUCAUCUGAAUAGUAGAAAUUCUUUUCGUGCUUCAUCAUGUAUUCGGCAAGUACCGCAGUAAAAUGCUCAAUACCAGCCAUCAUCGAUAAUUUAAGCGGUUGCGGAAAUUUCAAAAACACAUAUUUAAAGAAGUUUUCGCCCAAGAAACGGUAUAAAUCAACAGGGUAUUCAACAUCUUUAAGUGCAUCGUUAUAUUCAUUGUGUAACUUAGAAUGAAUCGCCUCUUGUCCA
rnacentral:rRNA from 1 species